GAUGAACGCUGGCGGCGUGCCUAAUACAUGCAAGUCGAGCGAACAGACGAGGAGCUUGCUCCUUUGACGUUAGCGGCGGACGGGUGAGUAACACGUAGGUAACCUACCUAUAAGACUAGGAUAACUUCGGGAAACCGGAGCUAAUACCGGAUAAUAUUUCGAACCGCAUGGUUCGAUAGUGAAAGAUGGCUUUGCUAUCACUUAUAGAUGGACCUGCGCCGUAUUAGCUAGUUGGUAAGGUAACGGCUUACCAAGGCAACGAUACGUAGCCGACCUGAGAGGGUGAUCGGCCACACUGGAACUGAGACACGGUCCAGACUCCUACGGGAGGCAGCAGUAGGGAAUCUUCCGCAAUGGGCGAAAGCCUGACGGAGCAACGCCGCGUGAGUGAUGAAGGUCUUCGGAUCGUAAAACUCUGUUAUUAGGGAAGAACAAACGUGUAAGUAACUGUGCACGUCUUGACGGUACCUAAUCAGAAAGCCACGGCUAACUACGUG
rnacentral:rRNA from 1 species